rnacentral:rRNA from 1 species
UACCCGGAUACUCCAUAUUUGUCGCAUGGCGAAUAUGGGAAAAGCUCCGGCGGCAAAGGAUGGGCCCGCGGCCUGUUAGCUAGUUGUGGGGUAGUGGCCUACCCAAGGCAAUGAUGGUAGCCGGGUUGAGAGACCGACCGGCCAGAUUGGGACUGAGACACGGCCCAGACUCCUACGGGAGGCAGCAGUGGGGAAUCUUGCACAAUGGGCGAAAGCCUGAUGCAGCGACGCCGCGUGCGGGAUGAAGGCCUUCGGGUUGUAAACCGCUUUCAGCAGGGGACGAGGCCGCAAGGUGACGGUACCUGCAGAAGAAGCCCCGGCUAACUACGUGCCAGCAGCCGCGGUAAU